ACCGCACAAGCGGUGGAUGAUGUGGUUUAAUCGAUGCAACGCGAAAACCUUACCCACCUUUGACAUGUACGGAACCCUUUAGAGAUAGAGGGGUGCUCGAAAGAGAGCCGUAACACAGGUGCUGCAUGGGCUGUCGUCAGCUCGUGUCGUGAGAUGUUGGGUUAAGUCCCGCAACGAGCGCAACCCUCGCCUUUAGUUGCCAGCAUUCAGUUGGGCACUCUAGAGGGACUGCCGGUGUCAAACCGGAGGAAGGUGGGAUGACGUCAAGUCCUCAUGGCCUUUAUGUCUAAGGCUACACACGUACUACAAUGGCCGGUACAAAGGGCAGCCACUCAGCGAUGAGGCGCUAAUCCCAUAAAGCCGGUCUCAGUCCGGAUCGCAGUCUGCAACUCGACUGCGUGAAGUUGGAAUCGCUAGUAAUCGUAGAUCAGCAUGCCUACGGUCCGAAUACGUUCCGGGCCUU
rnacentral:rRNA from 1 species